CCUACGGGUGGCAGCAGUGAGGAAUAUUGGUCAAUGGACGAGAGUCUGAACCAGCCAAGUAGCGUGAAGGAUGACUGCCCUAUGGGUUGUAAACUUCUUUUAUAUGGGAAUAAAAUGUUCCACGUGUGGGAUUUUGUAUGUACCAUAUGAAUAAGGAUCGGCUAACUCCGUGCCAGCAGCCGCGGUAAUACGGAGGAUCCGAGCGUUAUCCGGAUUUAUUGGGUUUAAAGGGAGCGUAGGUGGAUUGUUAAGUCAGUUGUGAAAGUUUGCGGCUCAACCGUAAAAUUGCAGUUGAAACUGGCAGUCUUGAGUACAGGAGAGGUGGGCGGAAUUCGUGGUGUAGCGGUGAAAUGCUUAGAUAUCACGAAGAACUCCGAUUGCGAAGGCAGUUCACUGGACUGAAACUGACACUGAGGCUCGAAAGUGUGGGUAUCAAACAGGAUUAGAUACCCUUGUAGUC
rnacentral:rRNA from 1 species